CGGUUCCAAAAUCGAAACAGUCCUAAAAUCCAGAUCCCAAAAUCAGAACGGUUCCAAAAUCAAAACCGUCCCAAAAUCUAGAUCCUCCCUAAAUCGAUCUAGGGCUCAGGCGAAGCUAGGCGACGAAGCAGCCGGCCAAGUGAGCGGCGAAGCUAGGUUGCAAAGCAGCCGGCGAAGAGAGGCUGCGAAGCUAGGUGGCAAAGAAGCCGGCGAAGCGAGGGCGCGACCCCGGUGGCGAGUCUUCUGCAAAGCUAGGGCUUGAAGAACUCAGCACCAUUUCGUUUGCAGGAUGAAGCUAAUGAAAGCAAUGCUGAAGUGAGCAAACGCCAAUUUCCGUGAUGUAGCUGUCGACACCGCCGCCCAUAGUGGCUGGCGUCCUCCUCCUCCCCUCCAUCAAAAUGACAAUGAUGUCUUGAUGGGUUUUGCUGAUGCAGGGUAUCUCUCUGACCCUUACAAAGGUCGCUCCCAAACAGGUUAUGUCUUUACCAUGGGAAGCACUGCGAUAUCUUGGAGGUCUACAAAACAUACCUUUGUUGCUACUUCCUCGAAUCAUGCGGAGAUUAUUGCCCUACAUGAAGCCGUGCGUGAAUGCAUAUGGCUAAGGUCUGUAAUUAGGCACAUUCGAGGAAUUUGUGGUUUGAAGUCUACCACAGAUGAACCUACAUGCAUUUAUGAAGAUAAUGCAGCUUGUAUUGAGCAAAUGAAAUUAGGUUUCAUCAAGGGCGACAACACCAAGCAUAUAUCACCUAAGUUCUUUUACAAUCAGCAACAACAAUCACUUCUAAAGAUUGAAGUAAAUCAAAUCCGAUCAGAGGAUAAUGUAGCGGACUUAUUUACUAUGUCAUUACCUAAAUCCACCUUCAAGAAACAUGUGAAGAGUAUCAGAUUAAGAAAGUUAUCCGAACUCUCAUGAUUGUAGCAAUGAGGGGGAGACGUCGACAUCAGGGGGAGGGAUGAUGUUUACAUGAUCAAUCUCGAAGAGUGAAUGACGUGUUGUGCUCUUUUUGUCCUUCGACUUGGGUUAUUUUUGUCCCACUGGAUUUUUGUUAGCUGGCAAGGUUUGUAAGAUCAAAGUAUCAUCACUAAGUUUGAGCGGCACAAGGGGGAGUGUUGAAGGAUGUUGAA